AACAUAAAUCAUUAUUUGAAUAAACUGCAUUAAGAAAACAAAAGGGGAAAUAAAUGAGUUCUAAAACUUCUCUUUACUGAGUUUUGUUUUGUCUCCCCUCCAAGAUCUCUCCAAGUCUGAAUAAUGAUGUUAGAAAACUUGCAAAACCUAAAUAUAGUCUAAACACACAAAAAGGACUUAUUUGAAAAUAGUGGAAACUUUGGGCCAAUCUUCAAUCUUUUGAAAUUUCUGAAAAAAUCCUCUGGAACUCUCGUCUGCGAUCAGUGUCAACCGACACUCUGUUGAAAGAGGCAAUCCGACUUGGUGUUUCAGCUGCAAUUCUCUUUAUACUCAAGUUCUCCAAAAUCUCCAGUUAAUCUUGUCCAAAACAUAUAUAAAUCUAAAAUCACUCAUAAAGACUCGAAACAUACGUAAAAACUCUAAAAUGGAUGUAUAUCAUGGUCAAAAACCCAUAAAACUAUGAUAUAUCACACACCAAAGGAAGAUGAUGGGCACUCAA
rnacentral:lncRNA from 1 species